rnacentral:rRNA from 1 species
AUUGAACGCUGGCGGCAGGCUUAACACAUGCAAGUCGAGCGGAGUGAUGGUGCUUGCACUAUCACUUAGCGGCGGACGGGUGAGUAAUGCUUAGGAAUCUGCCUAUUAGGGGGGGACAACAUCUCGACAGGGAUGCUAAUACCGCAUACGUCCUACGGGAAAACGCAGGGGAUCACUUGUGACCCUGCGAUAAUAGAUGAGCCUAAGUCGGAUUAGCUAGUUGGUGGGGUAAAGGCCUACCAAGGCGACGAUCUGUAGCGGGUCUGAGAGGAUGGUCCGCCACACUGGGACUGAGACACGGCCUAGACUCGUACGGGAGGCAGCGGUGGGGAAUAUUGGACAAUGGGGGGAACCCUGAUCCAGCCAUGCCGCGUGUGUGAAGAAGGCCUUAUGGUUGUAAAGCACUUUAAGCGAGGAGGAGGCUCUUUUGGUUAAUACCCAAGAUGAGUGGACGUUACUCGCAGAAUAAGCACCGGCUAACUCUGUGCCAGCAGCCGCCGCAG